rnacentral:rRNA from 1 species
AAGGGAGCAAUCCUGAGUAAAGUGGCGCACGGGUGAGUAACACGUGGAUCAUCUACCUUUUAGUGGGGAAUACCCCUGGGAAACCGGAGACAAUACCGCAUAAGCCCGCAAGGGGAAAGCAGCAAUGCGCUGAAAGAGGAGUCCGCGGCCGAUUAGCUAGUUGGCGGGGUAACGGCCCACCAAGGCGAAGAUCGGUAGCCGGCCUGAGAGGGCACACGGCCACACUGGCACUGAAACACGGGCCAGACUCCUACGGGAGGCAGCAGUGGGGAAUCUUGCACAAUGGACGAAAGCCUGAUGCAGCGACGCCGCGUGAGCGAUGAAGCCCUUCGGGGUGUAAAGCUCUUUCGACGGGAACGAUAAUGACGGUACCCGGAGAAGAAGCUGCGGCUAACUACGUGCCAGCAGCCGCGGUAAUACGUAGGCAGCGAGCGUUGUUCGGAAUUACUGGGCGUAAAGAGUGUGUAGGCGGUGUUCCCAGUCUGUUGUGAAAUCUCCCGGCUUAACUGGGAGGGUGCAGCGGAAACUAGAAUGCUAGAGGGUGGGAGAGGUAAGCGGAAUUCCUGGUGUAGCGGUGAAAUGCGUAGAUAUCAGGAGGAACACCUGUGGUGUAGACAGCUUACUGGACCACUUCUGACGCUGAGACACGAAAGCG